rfam:Planctomycetes bacterium DG_20 WOR1_52_54_12842, whole genome shotgun sequence.
GUCCCCAUAGCUCAAUUGGAUAGAGCGUUGGCCUCCGGAGCCAAAGGUUGGAGGUUCGAAUCCUCCUGGGGACG